CCCAGCUGGUGGCCCUGGCUCAGGGCGUGCCUCCUGCAGGAAGCCGAGAGGAACGCGCAGGAGCUGGUGGCGGAGGAGGAGCGGGCGAAGAGGAAGGCGGAGAAGAAGAAGCAGAAGAAGAAGAAACAAAAAGAUCGGAAGAAACAGGAGAAAG